GGGGUUGUGGCUCAGUGGAAGAGUGCUUGCCUAGUACACAUGAGGUACUGGGUUUGAUCCCCAGCACUACA
rnacentral:tRNA from 1 species